rnacentral:rRNA from 1 species
AUUGAACGCUGGCGGCAUGCCUUACACAUGCAAGUCGAACGGCAGCACGGUAGCAAUCCUGGUGGCGAGUGGCGAACGGGUGAGUAAAGCAUCGGAACGUGCCCAGUCGCGGGGGGUAACGUAGCGAAAGCUACGCUAAUACCGAAUACGACCCGUGGAUGAAAGCGGGGGACCGUAAGGCCCCGCGCGAGUGGAACGGCCGAUGUCAGAUUAGUUAGUUGGUGAGGUAAAGGCUCACCAAGCCGACGAUCUGUAGCUGGUCUGAGAGGACGACCAGCCACACUGGGACUGAGACACGGCCCAGACUCCUACGGGAGGCAGCAGUGGGGAAUUUUGGACAAUGGGCGCAAGCCUGAUCCAGCAAUGCCGCGUGCAGGAUGAAGGCCUUCGGGUUGUAAACUGCUUUUGUACGGAGCGAAACGGCUUCCACUAAUACUGGGGGCUAAUGACGGUACCGUAAGAAUAAGCACCGGCUAACUACGUGCCAGCAGCCGCAGUAAGAC